ACUCCUACGGGAGGCAGCAGUGGGGAAUAUUGCACAAUGGGCGCAAGCCUGAUGCAGCCAUGCCGCGUGUAUGAAGAAGGCCUUCGGGUUGUAAAGUACUUUCAGCAGUGAGGAAGGCGGAGUCGUUAAUAGCGGCCUCGUUUGACGUUAGCUGCAGAAGAAGCACCGGCUAACUCCGUGCCAGCAGCCGCGGUAAUACGGAGGGUGCGAGCGUUAAUCGGAAUUACUGGGCGUAAAGCGCAUGCAGGUGGUUCGUUAAGUCAGAUGUGAAAGCCCGGGGCUCAACCUCGGAAUUGCAUUUGAAACUGGCAGACUAGAGUACUGUAGAGGGGGGUAGAAUUUCAGGUGUAGCGGUGAAAUGCGUAGAGAUCUGAAGGAAUACCGGUGGCGGAAGGCGGCCCCCUGGACAGAUACUGACACUCAGAUGC
rnacentral:rRNA from 1 species